rnacentral:rRNA from 1 species
AUCUAUUGCCAUGCCACUCUGAAGCCCGAUCCCAUCUGAUCUUGGAAGCUAAGCAGGGUCGGGCCUGGUUAGUACUUGGAUGGGAGACCAUCUAGGAAGACCAGGUGCUGCAGGCG